ensembl:lncRNA
AGAGAGAACAGUGCCAUGAAGGAGUCCCUUGUUUUACUUGCAUCCUCUGUCAUUCUGACUGCAAGAAUCCAGGACACGUGGAAGUCCAUCGUAUCACAUGGAAGUGCCCCCAGGGAAGGCCUUGCCAAGUCCUCGGCUCUUUCCUGUGCUGGAGCCCCGCUGGAAUCCCAGGGGUCUGGAAAAAGGAAAGGAUGCAUCUAGAAGAGGAAAAUACUCACAGAGGUCAUCUCGUGUGCUAAAGGAACUGCUGAAGGAAAUGGAGAAGGCAGCGCGUGGGACUGACCAACAAACUGCACAGGACGUGCUGCAGGAAGGCAGCCAUCCCACGCUGCCAGUCUGGGACAGAGAAACACAGACAGCGCCAACAACUGGCAUGCCAGGGAUGAAUGCUGGGAAAAACACAAGGGCUGCGGUUCAGGAGUUUGUACAAGUGCUCUUCUUCCCAGUGAUUGCACUGCUUUUAACAGUGCUGCUGUCUGCGCUGGUGAUGACUUGUACUGCUGUGUCAUGGAUGUGGCAAAAAUAUCCAGUGUGCAAGAGAGCAGAGACAACUCCAGGACAAGCUCAUCCUGACAGUGUGCGGGAGAGAGGCCAGUCUGGAGGUGAAGGCAGAGCGGAGCUGGGAGAGGCAACAAAAGAUGAUGUAGUUGCCCAAGAAAACAAGAACUUGUACAGCGGAUCCAGCCCGUUCCCCUCCUCCUUUGAAGCAGA